rnacentral:rRNA from 1 species
UACGUAGGGGGCAAGCGUUAUCCGGAAUUACUGGGCGUAAAGCGCACGCAGGCGGUUCGCCAAGUUUGGAGUGACAGUUGUCGGCUCAACCGACAAAGGACAUUCAAAAACUGGUGAACUUGAGGACGAGAGAGGAACAUGGAACUCCAGGUGUAGUAGUGAAAUGCGUAGAUAUCUGGAAGAACACCAAUGGCGAAGGCAAUGUUCUGGCUCGUUUCUGACUGCUCAGGUGCGAAAGCCAGGGGAGCCGGAACGGGAUUAGAAACCCGGG